AACUUUCGACAACGGAUCUCUUGGCUCUCGCAUCGAUGAAGAACGCAGCGAAAUUCGAUAUGUAAUGUGAAUUGCAGAAUUCAGUGAAUCAUCGAAUCUUUGAACGCACCUUGCGCUCCUUGGGAUUCCGAGGAGCAUGCCUGUUUGAGUGUCAUUAAUAUAUCAACCUUCUCUUUUUGAGUGAUUUGGAUGUGGGGGUUUGCUGGCCUCUUAAAAGGUCUUGGCUCUCCUGAAAUACAUUAGCAGAACAACCCUGUUCAUUGGUGUGAUAACUAUCUACGCUAUUGAAUGUGAAGGGCAGUUUGGCUUUCUAACAGUCCUUGGACAAGCUCAUCAUUAAUGUGACCUCAAAUCAGGUAGGACUACCCGCUGAACUUAAGCAUAUCAAUAAGCGGAGGCU
rnacentral:misc_RNA from 1 species